UACGUAGGGGGCAAGCGUUGUCCGGAUUCAUUGGGCGUAAAGAGCGUGUAGGCGGCCCGGUCAGUCCGCCGUGAAAGUCCAGGGCUCAACCCUGGAAUGCCGGUGGAUACUGCCGGGCUGGAGUCCGGAAGAGGCGAGUGGAAUUCCUGGUGUAGCGGUGAAAUGCGCAGAUAUCAGGAGGAACACCAAUGGCGAAGGCAGCUCGCUGGGACGGUACUGACGCUGAGACGCGAAAGCGUGGGGAGCAAACAGG
rnacentral:rRNA from 1 species